CAUUUUUUCAUUGAAUAAAAAACAAAAAGUUUGUUCUCUCACAAACCGAUCUAACUUAUGAAAUUCCGUCACCGACAACCAACUCAUCUUUCUCCAUCGUCGGCACCUUAUCGCUCACUCAGGGUUGGAGUUAAUUGCCCUUCAUCAUUUUUUGAGAAAAGCAAAUUGUCGCCUCCACAUGCUCGAGCCGAUUACGAUUAUGGAUUACCUCAUCAAGCUCCGCACAUACUCAUAAUUACUAAGGUGCUUGGUUGUUUCCUAAUUGAAGUCAUAAAGAGGUACAUUAAUUGAUGAUUAAGAAAGUAUAUUUUAAAAUUUAUCUAUACAACAAUGGUGCGUGAAUUUCUACAGCGAUAUUUUUUCUGCAGGUACAUUAUAUUUUAGGUCAAGAUUAUGUCCCUAAUGUAUUUGAUAUUUUGGUUCAGAGCCGAUGGCGGCACUAUUAGUCUGAGACUGCAGCUAUUGUCUAGGGCAUUAGUUUAUAUUUUACUUUUAAUAUCAUUGUAAUGUUAUUGACUACCUCUACUAUUUGAUUGAAUAUGGUAGGAUGAUUACAAUAGAUUGGGCCCUUGAGCUAUCGUGGGAGGAUGUAUUUAAAAUUUUAAAUUGGAAUUUUCUCUUGUUUGCAAUGCCAAUUAUGAAAAUUCCCCAAAAGAGGUAGCGGGUGAAAUAUUAACAACACUACCACUUUCUACUGUGGCAUUGUAGAAUUUUUUGUCACUCCUCUCAUUAGGACUCUUAGUCGUUGUUAAUCACUCAGUUUCUUUGUUUAAUGGAGGCACAUUCUCCCUGAGCGAGACCAUUCAUUUGUCUUAACUCAGACUGAAAAGAACUGUAGUCAAGCAAAUAGAAUCAAUAGGGCUAAGCAAAAGAUGCCUCACAUGGGAGGAUCCAAAAGCAUAGCAACCUUUAUGAAUGAAAAGGAAAUGACAAAUGAAAGGAUGUGCAAUAGUGAGAGAUUUACUGAGCAACCUCCUCGUAGUGUUGCUUGGGAAGGCGAUGUGUAUUCUCAGAAUAUAAGAUAAUCGAGUUAAAGGAGAAACAAAAUGAAGAAAUGAAUAUGAUGAAACAAAAUCAGAAGAUGAUGCAAUCAGAAUUACUCCAAAUAAGACAACUCAUGCGCAAAUAUGCUCCUCAUGCAUCUAUGCCUCAAAGUAGCAAUGCCACCUCAGAUCCCUGAUGCCAAUAGUGGACAUGAACGAGUACCACAAACAUCAAAGAUUCCUAGUGUUGCUGAAAAUGCCCAACCUUCUCAUGGUCAAACCGUCUGAUGUUGGAUAAUUUAGCGGGUAAAAAAUUUCAAAAUAAUGAAAAGUUGCGGAAAUCAUUUAAAGACCAUCAUUCGUAUGAAUUAAUUAUAUAAUGACAUUAGUUAUUUAGUCUAAACAAUAUAUUUUUAUGUUUUAAAUUACUGUAAUAUUAAUGUUUUUGAUUAGUACUUC